AGCAGCCGCGGUAAUUCCAGCUCCAAUAGCGUAUAUUAAAGUUGUUGCAGUUAAAAAGCUCGUAGUUGAAUUUCGGAAUUUGUUAAUUGGUCGGGCUUCACUGUCCGUACUGAUUUAAUGAAUUCCUACCUUCUGAAUAACCAGCAUGCUAUUAAGUUAGUGCGUUGGGGAAGCAGAUCUAUUACCUUGAAAAAAUUAGAGUGCUUAAAGCAGGCUAGUGCUUGAAUAGAUUAGCAUGGAAUAAUAAAAUAGGACGGCAUGGUUCUAUUUUGUUGGUUUCUAGGAUCACCGUAAUGAUUAAUAGGGAUAGUUGGGGGCAUUAGUAUUCAAUUGUCAGAGGUGAAAUUCUUGGAUUUAUUGAAGACUAACUUCUGCGAAAGCAUUUGCCAAGGAUGUUUUCAUUAAUCAAGAACGAAAGUUAGGGGAUCGAAGACGAUCAGAUACCGUCGUAGUCUUAACCAUAAACUAUGCCGACUAGGAAUCGGACGAUGUUAAUUUUUUAAUGACUCGUUCGGCACCU
rnacentral:rRNA from 1 species